GAUGAACGCUGGCGGCGUGCCUAAUACAUGCAAGUCGAGCGAACAGACGAGGAGCUUGCUCCUCUGACGUUAGCGGCGGACGGGUGAGUAACACGUGGAUAACCUACCUAUAAGACUGGGAUAACUUCGGGAAACCGGAGCUAAUACCGGAUAAUAUAUUGAACCGCAUGGUUCAAUAGUGAAAGACGGUUUUGCUGUCACUUAUAGAUGUAUCCGCGCCGCAUUAGCUAGUUGGUAAGGUAACGGCUUACCAAGGCAACGAUGCGUAGCCGACCUGAGAGGGUGAUCGGCCACACUGGAACUGAGACACGGUCCAGACGCCUACGGGAGGCAGCAGUAGGGAAUCUUCCGCAAUGGGCGAAAGCCUGACGGAGCAACGCCGCGUGAGUGAUGAAGGUCUUCGGAUCGUAAAACUCUGUUAUUAGGGAAGAACAAAUGUGUAAGUAACUAUGCACGUCUUGACGGUACCUAAUCAGAAAGCCACGGCUAACUACGUG
rnacentral:rRNA from 1 species